GCCGCGACCGGCGCACGGUGAGUAACACGUAUGCAACCUGCCCUCUUCACGGGGACGAACCUUCCGAACGGGAGGCUAAUCCCGCGUAUAUCGGUUUCGGGCAUCCGAGAUCGAGGAAAGAUUCAUCGGAAGAGGAUGGGCAUGCGGCGCAUUAGCUGACGCGGGUAACGGCCACCGUGGCGACGAUGCGUAGGGGUUCUGAGAGGAAGGUCCCCCACACUGGUACUGAGACACGGACCAGACUCCUACGGGAGGCAGCAGUGAGGAAUAUUGGUCAAUGGGAGAGAUCCUGAACCAGCCAAGCCGCGUGAGGGAAGACGGCCCUAUGGGUUGUAAACCUCUUUUUGUCGGAGAACAAAACCCGGGACGUGUCCCGGACUGCGUGUAUCCGAAGAAAAAGCAUCGGCUAACUCCGUG
rnacentral:rRNA from 1 species